CAGUAGCCGCGGUAACACGAAGGGUGCAAGCGUUAAUCGGAAUUACUGGGCGUAAAGCGUGCGUAGGCGGUGAGUUAAGUCUGCUGUGAAAUCCCCGGGCUCAACCUGGGAAUGGCAGUGGAUACUGGCUCGCUAGAGUGUGUCAGAGGAUGGUGGAAUUCCCGGUGUAGCGGUGAAAUGCGUAGAGAUCGGGAGGAACAUCAGUGGCGAAGGCGGCCAUCUGGGACAACACUGACGCUGAGGCACGAAAGCGUGGGGAGCAAACAGGAUUAGAUACCCGGGUAGUCCCUGUCUCUUAUAC
rnacentral:rRNA from 1 species